rnacentral:lncRNA from 1 species
CUGACUACUAUUUUUGGUAGAAGAAAUUUCAAAACAAGCUUGCAUUCAUGCUGUGUCAUGGGUACUGUUUGCUGCUCUUGUCUGGAUCUUCAGUUAGAGAGAGCAAAAUCUGGAGCAAGUUACUCUUAGGACGAGGCGACGGGAAGAACUAAUAGCCUGCGGAGGAAGAAGCGUUGCCUGAGCCAUUCCGGUGCAGGAAAGGCGGAGGGCUCCGAGCCUCGCCACCGGAAACACGCCCCCAUGCCGGGGGAUCGUGGGCCGCGAGCAGACGGAGGCCGUGAGCGCCGAGGGAGGGCCGGUUAGCCUUCCGGGGAAGAGCGACCCCGCUUCCCGCUCGCAGGAGCGCGGCCCGCGCCGUGUUUGCGCGGAGAUGUUGUUCUGCCCAGGCCAGAAGAGGGUACCAGGUCGCAUUUCAGAUGGUUGUGAGUCACCAUGUGGUUGCUGGGAAUUGAACUCAGGACCUCUGGAAGAACAGCCAGUGCUCUUAACCUCUGAGCCACCUCUCCAGCCCAGAACUGCAGUUCUUAACCUGUGAGGGUUGUGUAUCAGAUAUGCUGCUUAUCAG